CAGUCGCCGCGGGAAUACGUAGGGUGCGAGCGUUAAUCGGAAUUACUGGGCGUAAAGCGUGCGCAGGCGGUUGUGUAAGACAGGUGUGAAAUCCCCGGGCUUAACCUGGGAACUGCGCUUGUGACUGCACGGCUAGAGUAUGGCAGAGGGGGGUGGAAUUCCACGUGUAGCAGUGAAAUGCGUAGAGAUGUGGAGGAACACCGAUGGCGAAGGCAGCCCCCUGGGCCAAUACUGACGCUCAUGCACGAAAGCGUGGGGAGCAAACAGGAUUAGAUACCCCUGUAGUCCCUGUCUCUUAUAC
rnacentral:rRNA from 1 species